GGCUUGGUGGUGCAAUGGUAACAUACCUACUUCAUAUACCAGAGGGCUCUUGUCUUCAGUAGGGGAUCCUUGUUCAAUUCAAGGCCAAGCCA